AGAGUCUUGGCGUAGUGGUUAAGCGCUACGGCUGCUAACCAUAAAGGUCAGUAGUUCAAAUCCACCAGAUGCUC
rnacentral:tRNA from 1 species